rnacentral:lncRNA from 1 species
UCACUUAAUCUCUGGGAUGGUCAAGGUACUAAGACAAUAUAUAAAUUAAUUUAAUCAUGGACUUAACCUUAUUUUACCAGGUAUGUUGGCAUUGCAAGGAUAGAAAAUAUACUAUCUGUGCUAAAGAAUGUUUACAUAUUAGCUAGCUAUGCUCAAACUAUAUAAGCUUUCCCACACAACAUCACUGUCUUCUGACAGGAGCGCUACAUGAGCUUCAGCCAUGGGAUUGGUCAGAAAGUAGAGGAUGGCAGCGCCUCAUUGGAGGAGCUAGAGGACUUUGUCAAGCAAAAUGAGCAGCCCAAAGUCACAUCAGGAGAAAUUUGAAACAGUCUUUAACCACUACCUGUGAAGACAUGUGGUGAAGUCUUGUUUGACCAUGACACCCCUUGUCCUGAGUGUUAGUGUCCAUCCUGACCUUUCAUAAUCGUAUUCAUGCACAGUGUUAUAGUUUCAUGUGACUAACUACUAUUACAGUUAUAGUAUAAAUAAUUAAUCAGUGGAUGAGUCUUGUGAAUGUGGACUAUUUUAAUGCACACUCCUGUAAUGUUGACAUGAUUCGAUUGUGAGGCCAUCAAUGGUAAAAACCAGAAAUAUGAAUUUAAUGGAGUAUAAAUUAUAUGGCAUUUCAAAUAUUGAAUUAAUGAAGGAAUUAAUUAAUUGACCACUGAUCGAUUGGUAGAGUUUUUCAUACUGGAGUUGUAUACAAAGAAGCAAACCCUAUUGUGUCAGUGUUUAGCAUUACUAUUAUAGUUAUUAACAUAAAUAUAAAUAUAUAGUGUUGCUACUUAGCUUCUAAUGUUAUAGUAACAUUAAAAAUGUCCUAGUAGGGGUCUUGGCAAAAAGACUUUAAAAAAAAACGUUAUGCAAUAUUUAAUAAGGCUCCCCAACAUAAACUAGGAUGCCCUCAGAAAUAAAAUACAUGUUUGUAUUGAUAUCCUCACAAUCCAACAUAUCUACAUAAUCAACCCAAGGCAAAAUACCGGUAUGUAACACAAUCCAUAACAGCGUUAUUUCCUAUGUCUGGCAAAGAGUCCUGACUGCGAACCGGUUUGGUAACUUCCUCCGUAGUGUAACAUUGUAGACCAAUAGACCCCUUUCCAGCAUAUGACACACUGACAGUAAGAAAGACAAAGCCUACAUUUACGUUUGUAUUACUUAUAAAUAAAAUAACUUUUUGGGGUUCUCAUACGCUUACAACGAAGUUUUGAAUCUUGCUUGAACAGUCGCUAAGAUUAUUUGGUUGUGAUCUUUGUAAAAUAACUAUUUUGGAUGCAGCAGUUGUUAGCUAGAAUGCUAACGCUCGUUGACAUAGGCUGUAGCAAAAGCUAGCCAAAGAGCCAUUUUGCUGGUUGAAGUUGAAGUGUUUUUUAAAAAGUAUAAUGCAGUUGAUUUGCGAUGAUGACACAAACAAGACAUUCAUACAAGGCUUAAAAUCAAAUUAUAACAAAAAGUAGUAUGAAAUGCACUCAUAAGCAACAUGUAAAUACUGGCUCUUUCCCCUGUGUCCUAUAAGAACUUCCACUUGUUCUGCCAUCAAUUUACACGCAUCGCCAUCGUGUGGCAAUGUGUGCAAACACAGAAAAGGGUC